AUUGAACGCUGGCGGCAUGCCUUACACAUGCAAGUCGAACGGUAACGGGCCUUCGGUUGCCGACGUGUGGCGAACGGGUGAGUAAUACAUCGGAACGGGCCCGAUCCUGGGGGAUAACGGGGCGAAAGCUUUGCUAAUACCUCAUACCACCUACGAAUUAAAGAAGGGGGCCGCAAGGCCUUGCGCUGACGGAGCGGCCGAUGGCGGAUUAGGUAGGUGGUGGGAUAAAAGCUUACCAAGCCGACGUUCUCUAGCUGGUCUGAGAGGACGAUCAGCCACACUGGGAUUGAGACACGGCCCAGAUUCCUACGGGAGGAAGCAGUGGGGAAUUUUGGACAAUGGGCGAAAGCUUGAUCCAGAAAUGCGGGGUGCAGGAUGAAGGCCUUCGGGUUGUAAACUGCUUUUGUACGGAACGAAAAGCGUUCUUUUAAUACAGGAGGGUCAUGACGGUACCGUACGAAUAAGCACCGGCUAACUACGUG
rnacentral:rRNA from 1 species